rnacentral:rRNA from 1 species
UGGGGGAUUAGUGGCGAACGGGUGAGUAACACGUGAGUAACCUGCCCUUGACUCUGGGAUAAGCCUGGGAAACUGGGUCUAAUACCGGAUAUGACUCCUUAUCGCAUGGUGGGGGGUGGAAAGCUUUUGUGGUUUUGGAUGGACUCGCGGCCUAUCAGCUUGUUGGUGGGGUAAUGGCCUACCAAGGCGACGACGGGUAGCCGGCCUGAGAGGGUGACCGGCCACACUGGGACUGAGACACGGCCCAGACUCCUACGGGAGGCAGCAGUGGGGAAUAUUGCACAAUGGGCGAAAGCCUGAUGCAGCGACGCCGCGUGAGGGAUGACGGCCUUCGGGUUGUAAACCUCUUUCAGUAGGGAAGAAGCCGUGAGGUGACGGUACCUGCAGAAGAAGCGCCGGCUAACUACGUGCCAGCAGCCGCGGUAAUACGUAGGGCGCAAGCGUUAUCCGGAAUUAUUGGGCGUAAAGAGCUCGUAGGCGGUUUGUCGCGUCUGCUGUGAAAGACCGGGGCUCAACUCCGGUUCUGCAGUGGGUACGGGCAGACUAGAGUGCAGUAGGGGAGACUGGAAUUCCUGGUGUAGCGGUGAAAUGCGCAGAUAUCAGGAGGAACACCGAUGGCGAAGGCAGGUCUCUGGGCUGUAACUGACGCUGAGGAGCGAAAGCAUGGGGAGCGAACAGGAUUAGAUACCCUGGUAGUCCAUGCCGUAAACGUUGGGCACUAGGUGUGGGGGACAUUCCACGUUUUCCGCGCCGUAGCUAACGCAUUAAGUGCCCCGCCUGGGGAGUACGGCCGCAAGGCUAAAACUCAAAGGAAUUGACGGGGGCCCGCACAAGCGGCGGAGCAUGCGGAUUAAUUCGAUGCAACGCGAAGAACCUUACCAAGGCUUGACAUGAACCGGUAAUACCUGGAAACAGGUGCCCCGCUUGCGGUCGGUUUACAGGUGGGUGCAUGGUUGUCGUCAGCUCGUGUCGUGAGAUGUUGGGGUUAAGUCCCGCAACGAGCGCAACCCUCGUUCUAUGUUGCCAGCGGUUCGGCCGGGGACUCAUAAGAG